CAGUCGCCACGGGAAUACAGAGGGUGCGAGCGUUAAUCGGAUUUACUGGGCGUAAAGCGUGCGUAGGCGGCUUUUUAAGUCGGAUGUGAAAUCCCUGAGCUUAACUUAGGAAUUGCAUUCGAUACUGGGAAGCUAGAGUAUGGGAGAGGAUGGUAGAAUUCCAGGUGUAGCGGUGAAAUGCGUAGAGAUCUGGAGGAAUACCGAUGGCGAAGGCAGCCAUCUGGCAUAAUACUGACGCUGAGGUACGAAAGCAUGGGGAGCAAACAGGAUUAGAUACCCCCGUAGUCCCUGUCUCUUAUAC
rnacentral:rRNA from 1 species